rfam:Schistosoma mansoni strain Puerto Rico chromosome 2, complete genome
ACCUUGCUGAUGAGUGCCAAGUAGCACGAAACUCGGGUCCAGGGU